AUUGAACGCUGGCGGCGCGCUUAACACAUGCAAGUCGAACGAGAAAGGGAGCAAUCCUGAGUAAAGUGGCGUACUGGUGAGUAACACGUGGAUAUCUACCUCUUGGUGGGGAAUAACCUGGGGAAACCUGGGCUAAUACCGCAUAAGUUCGUGAGAAGAAAGGCGCAAGUCGCCGAGAGAGGAGUCCGCGGUCGAUUAGGUAGUUGGCAGGGUAAAAGCCUACCAAGCCGAAGAUCGAUAGCCGGCCUGAGAGGGCACACGGCCACACUGGCACUGAAACACGGGCCAGACUCCUACGGGAGGCAGCAGUGGGGAAUCUUGCACAAUGGGGGAAACCCUGAUGCAGCAACGCCGCGUGAGCGAUGAGGCCCUUCGGGGGUGUAAAGGCUCUUUCGGCAGGAACGAUAAUGACGGUACCUGCAGAAGAAGCUGCGGCUAACUACGUGCCAGCAGCCGCGGUAAU
rnacentral:rRNA from 1 species